ACCUCGUCUCCAGCUGAGGCUGAGGGAGCACGCCUUUGUUUAGGGCCCCUUGUCCCGGCCUGUGUCAGAGCUUGCAGGGGCGUUGGGCCUCUCUCUGCAGGGAGGACUGGUUUUAGAGGACUCCCGCUUCCCCCAGUUGUAUCAGUUCAGGUGUAAGCCCGAUAUGCAAUAGGAUCCGGCGUGGUGUCCACACUCAUUAGACACAUGGCAUCGUUUCCAAAGAUACAGGCCCCUGCACUUCAGCUUGAUGCCAGAGGGCUUACACAUAAACUCUGCUUGACUUGGAAAUCAAAGAGAGGUGAGAAGAGUUCAGAUUUUCUCCUGCUGAGGUAGAAGGCUUGCCAAGAGACAAGACUGGACUCAUAAGGUCUGCAACUGGCUUUAUCUAGUUAAUAGCAGACUUUGACAUCACAAAACAUGCUAUUUCCUUGUGUUCAUGUCUUUAAGAGGAGCCACGGUGAAAGCAAACAUUAAAGAUUUUAAUCUAACAAAAAUGUGGAGUGAAAGUAAGACAUUUUACACCUGCUCUCUGCACUACUAUUUCAGGAGGAGGUCGGUCGCUGAUCUUGAAACUGUUAUUCAUAAAUGUUUUCCAUCUGUGUUUGUUUCUGAUUUCUCAUCUGCAUCUGCAGUUAUGAAAUGUCCUCCAAUGUUUGUCUCUUCUUCCUGAAAUACGGUCUAUUUCACAUUGCACUGCCCAUUUUCACAAGGCAUCACUGGACUAGGGAGUCCUCAGAGAAAGCCAGGUAUGGUUCAGCUGUUUCCUUUCCAGUGUAUAUGACACUUGGGAAAAAGACAGCUUGAGGGUAAAUUUGCCUCAUCGUUAGAGAUACCUCAUUAAUAUUAAGUCUGCAAAACAAGUCCUCUCUUUAAUUCGACACUUCCAAAAUGAACAAAGAAUUACAGUGCCCUGCAGUAAAAGGCGACUUAAUUGCAUUUGGCCAAUAUUUAUUUCGUGCACACUGUGUAAGACACAUUGAACUAGAGAGUAUAAAAAUUGGUAAAUUACCAUCUCUUAACUAAAUAAUCUUAUGGUCUCAUAACAGAAAUAGGGUACAAUGAAUGUACAAAUAACAAUUUUAAUAAAGAUAAUAAUGAGAUUUUUAAAUGAUUAAAGUUAUUUUCCAAGAACACUUUAAACACAGUGCUUAAAUUGUUUCUAUUUAUUGAGCUUCUACUACAAUGAAGACUACAUGGUAAUUCUAGGAUUAGAGAUGCAUGAGCAACACACACACACACACACACACACACACCCUGCCCCCAACUCACAAACAGUAGAAAGCAUGUGACAUUAAAUAAUUGCAUCAUUUAAUUCUUGCAACAGCCGUGGUAUUAUAAUCCCCCAUUACACAUGAGCACACUCGGUGUAACCAUAGGGAGUUGAUCUGCUGCCAGCCACACUGAAGAGGCAGGACAUACUUCAGGUAUCAGGGGUUGAGAUUUGGCUAUGAGAGCUAGAAUGUCUGGUUCCAACUCCAGUUCCACAACAUGAAAGCUGCAUGACACUGAGCAAGUUACUCAAUAUCUCUGUCUGAGUUUCCCCGCGCUGUAAAGGUUUGUUUUAAGAAGUGAAUUAAUCCUCAUCUUGAUCUACCUAGGGAGAUCUAGUAUACAAGAAAUUCCUCUGUCAUCUUUACUUCUUUUUAAUCAAAAAGUUAAACAACUUCA
rnacentral:lncRNA from 1 species